rnacentral:rRNA from 1 species
UACGUAUGGAGCAAGCGUUAUCCGGAUUUACUGGGUGUAAAGGGUGCGUAGGCGGUCUGGCAGGUCAGAUGUGAAAUGCCGGGGCUCAACCCCGGAGCUGCAUUUGAAACUGCUGGACUGGAGUACAGGAGAGGCAGGCGGAAUUCCUAGUGUAGCGGUGAAAUGCGUAGAUAUUAGGAAGAACACCAGUGGCGAAGGCGGCCUGCUGGACUGUUACUGACGCUGAGGCACGAAAGCGUGGGGAGCAAAC